AGUUCUCAUGAAUACAUCAACAGAGAGUUGUGCUUCUCUCUCUAAAACAAGCGCAAGACAGACAGCAGAUGUGCUAAUAUCCCCACAUUGCUCUGCCAAACCAGUGCACACCAAGCCAUAUGGAUGGAUUGGUAUUUCCGAGGUACCAGCUUUCAGAGGUAUCCAGGACUUUUCCUGUCAGGAGGACGUCAGGUCUGCUUUCCCUAUUACUGUGGGUCCCUGAUAAGACAGGCAAUUUGUUACAGGCUGGUGGUGUACUAGCUUGUGGCAGAGGCACAGAAGGGAAAUGCUUAGCUCUUGAAAGCCAUUACAAAAAAGGAAUGAAAAGCACCAGCAAUAUCAAAUGAGGUCAGUUCUUCCUUAUUGACAGACCUGGGGAAAGUUGUGCCACUGGCAGCAGUACACAUCUGUUGGUGUGGACCAUGACUGUGUAGGCAUCCCUCCUGCUCUGCCACCAAGAUGCUGCAUGUCAGCAUGAAGAUAAGAUGCUUCUGCUGAAACUGCUGGUCAGUGUGCAAUGAGUGCUUCCUGCAUUCGACACAGUGAAGAGACUUCUGUGACUGGGAAAGUGAGGAGCUGACCACCCGCAGUUUGUCAUGAGGCCCACAUCUCUUGCACUAACACCUGAUUCCAGCUGCAGAGGAUUUAAAAACCUCCCUUCUGACUACCAGCCAGUGGCAGGAGACGUCACUGUAGCAUUUGACCUAGACAGGUGCAAAUCUUUCUGUACUAAUCUUAUCACUGGCUUUUCAGCCGAAAUUUCCCAGAAGAUCUAAGUCCAUAACCAUCCUGACUGAAAAAAUGAGAUGGAUUUCAGUUGUGCCCCGGUUUGCACUACAUGAGCUGACUUUAUACAAUAAUAAAGGAGACUGGAUCAAAGGCAAAAACCCUGCUGGAAAUCUUGUGGGCUGUCACCCUGUCUUUGGCGGCAGGAUAGUGAAAGGCUUUACUUUAACUGGUGUGAUAGGGCUUUGGGGCUGUUCCAGGAGCCUGCACAUUUCAAAGCUAUUUUGGUGUUACACUCCCUACUCCGCACUGGUCCCUGUGCGACAGCUUCGUGCGCUCACUCGCUGAUUUCUCAUCGACCUCCCUCGGUUUGAGAGCACGCCUGCCUGCCUCGGUGUUUCCCACACGCAUUACCACGAACACACACUUGAGGGCCACAGAUCUUAAGUUUAGCAGCUCCUGCCUUUAUCAGAUUUAUUCACUUGGAGAGGGAGUGGGAUUGCUCUCUGUCCCUUUGUAGCAUUAAUUUUCAAACACAAGGCAGGGUGGUCAAUAAUCUAUUCUGCUGGCAGUUUUACUUCGUUUAUUCCUGUUUCAGGUAUUAGUUUCUUCAGCAAUUUUAUCACCUGCAGGUUUGAUGUUAUCUAUUCAGUCUGGCAUGACCAUACAUGCCUGUCCCUGAUCCUAGGGUGGCACACCAGAGUCUCCACGUUGCCCUGAGCCACAUUGUAGCUUGGCAUUGGAGAGUAUUUAUGUACAUGGAAGAGGACCUCUGUUUCCAGAGAGAUCAUCUGUUCCUACUGCUUAUACCCUAUUUGAUGUCAUGAUCUUGGUUGCUGUGGAAAUGAUUAAGCUGUCAUCAACAGGAUUCAGAUGGGGAAUAAGCUCUGGGAGAAGAUAAUACAACAUUCCUUCUUUUAUGCAAAUAUGUGCAGUUAAGAAUGGCAAACAAACAAGCAAAAUAUAGAGGCAAACACCCUUCCCUCUCCCAAAUCACUAUUCAGACUGAGCAGACUGUUUUAAAUAAGCACAUUUUUUUCCAGGGGGUGUCAGAUGGUGUCUAGAAAAUGUUAUCCGCUGUUGUGGAAGUGGCAGAAGGGAGCUAGAGGUCAGUGAACAUAUCCUCAUUCCUUUGGUUUGAACGGGUACAAAUUCCAAAGUAGAUGCCAAACUCCCUUUUGUCCUGUGCUUUGAGCAGGUCGUGGCAGGUGCAAUAUGUUGCAAAAGUAAGUAAGAGUAGCACAGUUUUUGUGGGUGCAAAUGGAUAUGCAACAUGCAGAGGACCAGAGAGCUAUGGCCUCUGCACUUAAGUAGCUGCCCAGGGUUGUGUUAAGCACAGCAAGUCACAGUGGGAGGAGUAAUGCUCCCAGACAUUACAUGAGGUUAUGCUGACUCAGGAAAAUGAAAUACCUCCCAGAAGUACCUCUGGAUUUAAUUAAGAAGUGUUUAGAGUCAAUGGCAAUUCUCCAAAGGGAACUUGUGUUAACCACCAGCUGAUUACACGUGGAAUUGCAUGGGGGAUCUUUCAGUAUUUGGUGAAUAUACAUGGGAAGCAGGUCAUCUAGGUUGUAUAUUUGUAGUUGUAAUUAGAAAGACAAACUGUAUGGGAAGAGAAAGUCAACAAUGAUCUUGAUAAUUAGUUUAAUGCUGCUAUGCACAUAUGCUGUGUUUUUUGGAGUCUGCAAUACUGCUGUCUCAGUGGUGGGUGUAAAUGCCUUAUAGUAAGUUGAAUCCAGUUACUAUUACUUUCCAGAGUCUUGGCAGCGCUAAUGUCUCUAACAUAGUCUAUAUUCAGGAAACUGGGAAAAUGCUCAAGUCAAAACAAACUAGGGUUGUUUUCUUAUUAGAAAACUCUCAUAAAAAUGUGGGGGUUUUGCAGAAUCUCCUGGUACUGUUGAUCUGAAGCUCUAAGUAGUCAGCUCUUUACCUGCAGCUAAAAUUAUACACACAGCAUAAUGAGCAGUUGAUAUGUGACUAAGCUGCUCUCUUAUUCAGACAUUGAUAGGAUGUUAUAACACAUCAGGAAAGAUUAAGGAUGAUAACAGGAAAAUCCUUCUAGAAGUUUUUCAUUACUACUGAUGCUUCAUGGAACAUGUUGAAAGAGUUUUCACUCAAGAAAUACGUGCUGCUUUUUUGUUCUUUCUGAUGACAGCUUCUCAGAGAGGGCACAGCCUGGGCCAUGUUUUGAAUCAGGGACUUCAUGAUCUUUGGAGGAUGCUGUAAACCUGCACAGAGCAUUCAUUUUCCACAGCAGAGAUGGGUCAAUUACAUCAAUACCCCUCAAAGUGUGGAGUUUACAAGAUAGGUGCCUGCAGGAUGCAAUGGGAUUCUGAAGUCCAACGGAACAAUUGUGGUGCCUUCUCUCUUUUCACCUCAUUGAUGCUGCUACUUUCAAAGUUUCAUCAGGCACCAGAGAGAUCCCUGAUGAGCAGGGUAAAGCAGAGAAACUCCAGAGGUCCUUAAUGAAAUCGUUCAGAUCUGUAUGCUGUGCCCGAGUUCAUUCUGGAUUUGGCUUCCCUGUCUGAAUCCCCUACGCACGCUCAUAGUUUCCUCUGGUGCAUUCACCUUCAGAUGACUGUCUUGAUGCAAGUAAAAGAACCAUAUAUAACUUGUCGAGGAAUGUAAUAGAGCAGAACAUGAGCAUUGUCUGCAGCAUGUUUAGCUUUAACACACUGUGCUGAGCCUUUGUAGGUUAAUAUACAGAUAAUGUUGUCAGUCAAGUUUGGUGCAUUUUCUUUAACUGUGUGAAGUCAACACUGAGAUUAGGUGGUACUACAAAGCCUCAAAAACCAGGCUGCGAUUUUUGCAAGGAGACUUAUGCAUCUAACUCAUAUUGAAUUUUAGUUGGCUACAGGGACCUAAGUUCCUUAACAUUCUUGGUCUUAAAGAAUUACCCUUCAUCUUCUUUGUGUUUUACUCCAGGUAGAAUGGAUACAGGCUUCUUACAAAGAAAAUGUUAUUUUUAAUUUUAAGCAAAUCAAAACCUAAGACAUGAAUAAAGCUAUUUCGAAAGGGUUUGAAAAAUUAUUCAGAAAUGCUGUUAGGAUAAAUUCCUUAUGUACUGGAGAGAAGUUGCAAUGUUUUGUGCUAUUUUAGUGACUUUUCCUUGAAAAUUGCCUACUUGUAUCUUUUUGUUUUAAAUAAUUUCUAGGAUUCAGAUUGGUUAAUGCACCAUUAAAGGAAUUUAUUUGGACAGAAA